GUGCCAGCAGCCGCGGUAAGACAGAGGCCUCAAGCGUUAGGCGGAAUCACUGGGCUUAAAGCGUGUGUAGGCGGACUUCUAAGUACCUUGUGAAAUCCCACCGCUCACCGGUGGAACUGCUGGGUAUACUGGUCGUCUUGAGCCACUUAGGGGCUACCGGAACAAAUGGUGGAGCGGUGAAAUGCGUAGAUAUCGCUUGGAACGCCGAAGGUGAAAACAGGUCGCUGGGGUUGUGCCGACGCUGAGACACGAAAGCCAGGGGAGCAAACGGGAUUAGAUACCCCGGUAGUCC
rnacentral:rRNA from 1 species